UACAGAGGGUGCUAGCGUUGUUCGGAAUCAUUGGGCGUAAAGGGCGUGUAGGCGGUUUGUUAAGUCAUGUGUGAAAUCCCUCGGCUCAACCGGGGAACGACGCAUGAAACUGGCAAGCUAGAGUACCAAAGAGGGGGGGUGGAAUUCCCGGUGUAGCGGUGAAAUGCGUAGAUAUCUGGAGGAACACCGGUGGCGAAGGCGGCAUCCUGGACCGGCAUUGACGCUGAGGCGCGAAAGCGUGGGGAGCAAACGGG
rnacentral:rRNA from 1 species